GAUGAACGCUGGCGGCGUGCCUAAUACAUGCAAGUCGAGCGAACAGACGAGGAUCUUGCUGCUCUGACGUUAGCGGCGGGCGGGUGAGUAACACGUGUAUAACCUACCUAUAAUACUGGGAUAAUUUCGGGAAACGGGAGCUAAUACCGGAUAAGAUAUUGAACCGCAGGGUGCAAUAGUAAAAGACGGUGGUGCUGUCACGUAUAGAGGCAUCCCCGCCGCAUUAGGUAGUUGUUAAGGUAACAGCCUACCAAGGCAACCAUGCGUAGCCGAAGGGAGGGGGUGAUAGGCGACACUGGAACUGGACCACGGUCAAGAGUACUAAGGGAGGGAGCAGUAGGGAACCUUACGCAAUGGGGGAAAGCAUGACGGAGCAACGCCGAGUGAGUGAUGAAGGUGUCCGGAUCGUAAAACUCGGCUACUAGGGAAGAACAAAUGUGUAAGUAACUAUGGACGUCUUGACGGUACUUAAUCAGAAAGCAACGGCUAACUACGUG
rnacentral:rRNA from 1 species